rnacentral:rRNA from 1 species
UACGGAAGGCAGCAGUGGGGAAUAUUGCACAAUGGGCGAAAGCCUGAUGCAGCUAUGCCGCGUGUAUGAAGAAGGCCUUAGGGUUGUAAAGUACUUUCAUCGGGGAGGAAAAAACAAAACUAAUAAUUUUAUUUCUUGACGUUACCCGAAAAAGAAGCACCGGCUAACUCCGUACCAGCAGCCGCGGUAAUACGGAGGGUGCUAGCGUUAAUCAGAAUUACUGGGCGUAAAGAGCACGUAGGUGGUUUUUUUUAAGUUCAGAUGUGAAAUCCCUGGGCUUAACCUGGAACUGCAUUUUGAAACUGAAAUACUAGAGUAUCGUAGAGGGAGGUAGAAUUCUAGGUGUAGCGGUGAAAUGCGUAGAUAUCUGGAGGAAUACCUGUGGCGAAAGCGGCCUCCUAAACGAAUACUGACACUGAGGGUGCGAAAGCGUGGGGAGCAAACAGGGAUUAGAUACC